GUCAAAAUCACACACGAAGAAAGUCCAAAAAGGGAUAGCUGAAAAGCUAAUCAACAUUCGCAAUUCGAUAGAAGUGAUGGAGGACUUGUCUCAAAAUGAGGACAUUACAAAAGAAACAUCAGUAGUGGUAACACUAGUCUUUAAAGUUCUUAAAGACACUAGUCUUUUAAGUUCUUGAUGUGAAGUACAACUCUUACACCCAAUCGGAGUUGAAAGAUGUGGGACUUGACUUUUUAGCUCUAAAUGCCGAUGAAAUGUUUGGAAUCUUUUUCAGCUUCCAGCACGAAACCCACGAAAAUUGAUAUGACAACCGCCAAUUUGACCUUGACUGAGGACAACCUGUUCCGCCUAUACCUGGAGGACGACACGAGAAUGGAGGAAAUAUGCACGUUAAUAAACCGCGUGUACAUUGAGUCAGAGUCAAAAUCACACACGAAGAAGGUCCAAAAAGGGAUAGCUGAAAAGCUAAUCAACAUUCCCAAUUGGAUAGGAUUGAUGGAGGACUUGUCCCAAAGUGAGGACAUCAUAAAAGAAACAUCAAUAGUGGUAACACUAGUAUUUAAAGUGCUUAAAGACCUCCAGAAAAAAAGAAAGAAAGGGAGAAGCGGGUCCUCUUCGGACGAAAGAGGGCUGAGCAGCUGGGAUUUUGAGUUCCUCAAAGCCCUUGAUUUACUGGUGGACGAGGAAGUUUUAGCAAGAAUAGACGAGUUGCAAGAGAUGGGAGUUCUAGUUUGAGGACAGAGGAGCAGUGGCGUAACGUUAAGGGAAAGAAAUCCCUAGUCACCAAGAUUCUGAAGAGCCCUUUCUUUUCCAUCAUCCUUGACUCGACCCAAGAUAUCACCAAGGUAGAUCAGCUUAGCCUUAUCGUUAGAUGGGUUUCCAUUUACGGUGAGGUAAAGGUGAAGGAGACCUUUCUGGGAUUCGUAUCAAUGCAGUCGGGGAAGGCUCAAGUGGUAGCCGACACAGCUAUCAAACUUCUUUCCGAGCUAGGAUUUACUCUCGAGAAACUCCGUGGACAAGGUUACGACGGGGCCAGUGUUGAGUGUUAGGUAUGUCUGGUAUUUACAGCGGUGUGCAGAAGUUAAUAUCCGACAAGAUUCAAGCUCCCACACCCUUCGUCCACUGUUCAACGCACAACUUGAACCUAGUGAUCCAAGACUGUGUGAAAGACAGCAAUCACAUGACUGACUUCUUCAACACGUUAGCUCAGUCUAAGGAGAGAGUUAUAUCCUGCUGAAAAGGCAACCUCCUGCUGAAAAGGCAACCUCUGCUGUUGGAGAGGCAACCUCUGUUGAAGAAGCUGUUCCCUUGAAAUAUUGGCUAUUUUUUGUUACUUUGUUAUCGUUAUAUUUGUCAUUAGUUCCUUUA